GUAAGAGAAGAGCGCGAAUUUCCCCUCAGUCCUAUAUAACUUAUCGGGUAGGAUUGUGCAAAUUGAGGGCGCCAACAUCAAAAA
rnacentral:SRP_RNA from 1 species